UAGGAGUUGCUUACUCUUCUAGGACUAGGA
rnacentral:piRNA from 1 species